rnacentral:rRNA from 1 species
CAGCCUGCCCAGUGACUACGGGUUCAACGGCCGCGGUAUUUUGACCGUGCAAAGGUAGCGCAAUCACUUGUCUCUUAAAUAGAGACCUGUAUGAAUGGCUAGACGAGGGCUUAACUGUCUCCCCCCUCCAGUCAGUGAAAUUGAUCUAUCCGUGCAGAAGCGGGUAUAAUUAUACAAGACGAGAAGACCCUUUGGAGCUUAAGGUACAAAAUUUAACCAUGUUAAACGACUCCAUAGAAAGCAAGAACUUAAUGGUGAAUAAAAUUUUACCUUCGGUUGGGGCGACCACGGAGGAAAAAGAAGCCUCCGAGUGGACUGGGCUAAACCCUAAAGCCAAGAGAUACACCUAUAAGCCGCAGAACAUCUGACCAAUAAUGAUCCGACUGAAAAGCCGAUCAACGAACCAAGUUACCCUAGGGAUAACAGCGCAAUCCUCUCCCAGAGUCCAUAUCGACGAGGGGGUUUACGACCUCGAUGUUGGAUCAGGACAUCCUAAUGGUGCAGCCGCUAU